UUGAACGCUGGCGGCAUGCUUUACACAUGCAAGUCGAACGGUAACAGGUUAAGCUGACGAGUGGCGAACGGGUGAGUAAUGCAUCGGAACGUGCCCGAUCGUGGGGGAUAACGCAGCGAAAGCUGCGCUAAUACCGCAUACGAUCUGAGGAUGAAAGCGGGGGACCGUAAGGCCUCGCGCGAUCGGAGCGGCCGAUGUCAGAUUAGGUAGUUGGUGGGGUAAAGGCCCACCAAGGCGACGAUCAGUAGCGGGUCUGAGAGGAUGAUCCGCCACACUGGGACUGAGACACGGCCCAGACUCCUACGGGAGGCAGCAGUGGGGAAUUUUGGACAAUGGGGGCAACCCUGAUCCAGCCAUGCCGCGUGCGGGAAGAAGGCCUUCGGGUUGUAAACCGCUUUCGGACGGAAAGAAAUCGCAUGGACUAAUACUCUGUGUGGAUGACGGUACCGUAAGAAGAAGCACCGGCUAACUACGU
rnacentral:rRNA from 1 species